AUUUACCCGCCAAACCUUGACACUCCUUUCCUUACCGUAAUCUCGCACCUCUGUUUCCGUUCAAACAUCUUUCUGGUUUCUAGACUGAAUGCCUGCUCCAAAAAAUACAUUAAAUAUCGCCAACAAAUUGGAAUUAAGGAUCAAUUGUCUUUUUAAUUAUGAACAAGAAUUUUUCAUGGUUGUUACUUCAGCUGAAUUACUAAACGCUGGCCUGAUGAUGGUUCCACUGUAAACCGAAAUCGAUCGCCGAAGUAUAAAUAUAUAAAUCA